GCGACAUCACUCAGUUGGUUAGAGCGUGGUGCUGAGAACGCCAAGGUUGCGAGUUCGAUUCCCGUCUGGGGCA